rnacentral:rRNA from 1 species
AUUGAACGCUGGCGGCAUGCCUUACCCAUGCAAGUCGAACGGUAACAGGUCUUCGGAUGCUGACGAGUGGCGAACGGGUGAGUAAUACAUCGGAACGUGCCUAGUAGUGGGGGAUAACUACUCGAAAGAGUGGCUAAUACCGCAUGAGAUCUACGGAUGAAAGCAGGGGAUCGCAAGACCUUGUGCUACUAGAGCGGCCGAUGGCAGAUUGGGUAGUUGGUGGGAUAAAAGCUUACCAAGCCGACGAUCUGUAGCUGGUCUGAGAGGACGAUCAGCCACACUGGGACUGAGACACGGCCCAGACUCCUACGGGAGGCAGCAGUGGGGAAUUUUGGACAAUGGGCGCAAGCCUGAUCCAGCAAUGCCGCGUGCAGGAUGAAGGCCUUCGGGUUGUAAACUGCUUUUGUACGGAACGAAAAGCCCCGGGUUAAUACCCUGGGGUCAUGACGGUACCGCAAGAAUAAGCACCGGCUAACUACGUGCCAGCCGCCGCAGUAA